UUUAAUACAUGAUCUCGUGGUUCUCUUAGGAGAUUAAUAGGGAAAACGGUGAAAAUCCGUUACAGCCCCCGCUACUGUGAGCGAGGAUGAAACCGGCAAUUACCACUGGGCAACCGGGAAGGUGCCGGGAGUAAAAUGAAUCGCAAGUCAGGAGACCUGCCACGAGGUUUAUGCAUAG
rnacentral:ncRNA from 2 species